CACUAGAGACUUCAAAGCAGAGGAGUUUGACAACCACUGCUUUGGGGAUAGAGGCGUGGUGCACAAGAAGUGUACCACAAAGCAAACUGAAAAAGGACAGAGAGACCCAGUUAAUUAUUAGGUAUUUUCUGUUCCAAAGAUUGCUUGAUUCAUAAUCAACCUGAGAAGAUAUUUUGUGCUGUUUGGCCAUGGCCUUCAGGUGCUUGGCUCCACUAAGUUCCAAAGCUCCAGAAAGGAAUCGAAGUAGCUGUUGACAGAUUCAAAACUGCCCCUGAUGUGCCGAAGGCCCCAGUCUGAAUAGGACUCCUCUGCAUCAGGGCUGGUGUCACUCCGAGCUGGGCCACCCCACAGGCUGAGCCACAAAAUCAAGAAGCCAGUGGCCAGCUUCAUCCUGAAGCCAGCUGGGUGCUGAGGUCUUUCCUCAAACCCCAGCCAGUGUCCCAGGAAAUCCAGCCUUGCUUUUUGCAGAGAUACUUGCUCUUGCAAUCUAGUCACCAUGCUGGGAAGAAGCCCAGACCACAUGCAGGUACUCUGGCCAAAGCCAGCCUCAACCCUCAAGAUGACCCCAGUGCCAGUCAUCAACUGACUACAGAUGCAUGAAUGAUCCACAGCAAGAACCAGGAGUGAAGCCCACCUUACAACCAUGAGACAUAAAAAUAGUUAUUUUAAUCUA